UCCUGAGGUAAACUGCAAGUGACUGGUUUCUGAGACUUAAAGCUACUGAUCACUAGUCUCUGGGCCUGGCUGUUCAGGCAGUUUUUAAUCCACCUCACUGUCUGCUCAUCCAGAUUGAACUUCAUUAGAUUCUUUGUGAGGAUAGCUCCCCUACCUUAGGGUUGACAGUGUUGAAAGCCUUACAGACGUCUAGGUAGACAAUGUCCACUCUCUCCUCACCUACCAAGCCAGGCAUUCAGUCACAGAAAGUUAUCAAGUUGGUCAAGCAUGCCUUUCCCAUGAUGAAUUCAUGUUUAUGACUCCUGAUGAUUUUCUUGUCAUUCAUGGACCUGGAGAUGGAUUCCAGGAUUAGCUAGUCCAACAUCUUCCUAGAGAUUGAGGUGAGUCUGACCAGCCUGUCCUCCUUCUUGACCUUCUUGAAGAUAAGAGUGACAUUUCCUUUCCUCUGGUCUUUGGUCCCUUCUCCCAGUCACCAUGAUCAGUCAAAGAUUUUUCAAGAGUGGCUGUACAAUGACAUCUUCCAGUGAACUCAGAAUUUGUGGGUGUAUUCCAUCAGGGCCAAUGAAUUUAGCUAUGUCCAGCUUGCUUAAGUAUUCCUUGACCAGGGAAUAGUACUUCCACCAACAGCUUCCACCAAUGUUAUAUCUUCCUUGCUCAUGCCUUUCGCUCUGGUCUCUGGGAUCUGGGAUUCAUGAGGGCUGGUCUUGCUAGUAAAGACUAAAGCAAAGAACACACUCAGUACCUCAUUACAGUCCUGUGUAACGGGGUCCCCUGACUCAUUCAGCAUCAGGUAUACCUUUUUCCAGACUUUUUGUUGUUACCUAUGGCCUUAUAGAAACUUUUCUUUUUGUCUUUGACAUCCCUGGCCAUAAUAAAUUCCAGCUGGGAUUUGGCUUUUCCAGCUUCAUCCAUGGAUACUCGGACGUCUCUGUAUUGCUUGUUACCUGUCCUUGCUUCCACGAUCUGUAUGCUUCCUAUCUGUGUUUGAGUUUGGAGUUUAUUCAUUCACACAGUCCUCCUGGCAUUUUUAUCUGACUUCCUAUUAUUAAUUGGGAUGGAACUCUUUUGAACUUGGAGGAAUUGAUCCUUAAAUAUUAACCAACUUUCUUGUGUUCUUCCUUACAGGGCCUGAUCCCAUGGAAUUUUACCAAGCAAAUCUUUGAAAAGGCCAAAGUCUCCUCUCCUGAAGUCCAGGGUUGUGAGCUUGCUUUUCCCUCUCUUUUUCCCCCUCGUGAUCCUGAACUUCAGUGCCUCAUGGUCACUGCAACAAAGGCUGCCUUUGACCUUCACAUCCUCAAUGAGCCCUUUGUUGUUGGUGCUUAAGUUUAAGCAAAGUUCAUCAAGGAAGAACACAUUCUAGUACCAAGAUAACUUGGAAAGACUUAACCUUCUGGGAAGGAGCACUUGCCUUUGUAUCUGGACACCUUCCUUGAGAGUUUUGUUCCCAAAAGCUCAACAUCAGGUUGCCUUGUAGUCCUUGUUGUUCUGGAUACCAUGAGGCAUGACCAUACAUGGAAAUCUUCUCCACAAUUAUUAGGUGAGAAGGCUGCACUCCUUUCUCUGAGUUUGAGUGUAGGUGUUGUUAUAUUGUAUGGCUCCUUAAUUAGUUGUUAUGUAGAUUGCUAUAGUUGUCUCUGUGUAUACAUGAAGGCAAUGUCCGUAAAGCAAUACAAUUGGUUUCAAACAUAGCUGUCUGUCUCAGCAAAAAAUCUUGCAAUCACAUUUCUUCUCAUUUUGAAGUCUCAUUGUGAUAUUUUUCAGGAAUUAGAACUGCACCAUCAGACCUCUCUGUGGUCUGAUUUAAACUGUUUUGGGGAUUAUCUCUUCUUGUGAAAUCCUGACUGUUGACAACAGGUACAUUCAAAUGAAAAAUAAUAUCAUCUUCCUCAGGAAUAAAUCCCAUAUGUAUUCAAAAGACAGUUUUUUCUGAACCUAUCAAUCAGCAGGUCAUGUAGGAGAGAUUUCAGACAUCACUAAGUAAACAUGAUUUGCUCUGUGCUGAAAAUAUUGAUGUUGAAUAUUCAAUAUGUAAUGAAAUAACACAAAAAUAGUUGUUUGGACUGAUUUAAACACCUGUAACCAAAAUCUUUCCAAGAAAGGAAAGAGAGCUACACAUUGUGUAGUUUUAGAGUGACACUUAGAUGCAACAUCUACAUAUGUCUUUUGGAAGCAUCUGGAAAAGCAGAGGAAUUGUGAGGAAGUGCGAAACAAGCCAUGUGUUGCUUUCUUCUCUAUUAAACUUAGUAGGUACCAAAACAAAUUGUUGCAGACAGCCAGUGUGCAUUCAUUUAAAGGAGCUUAUACAAACUUUUUUUCCACUCAAUUUUGUGAGGUUUCAUGGGGGAGGAAGGGGUAGUUUUUCAAGGAGUUGAGAGGAAGAAUGGGAUCACCAAGAGUUCCUAGGAACUUCAGUUUCAUAAAAAAUAGCAGUCAGCUAAAAAGCCUUUCUUACGUUAUAUAUUUUUUACUGAUACUUCUGUUUGCUUCAUAUUCUAGGAGAGCAUUUUGUUUCUUACUGGCUUACAGACUGUUCUGGAAAAGAAGACAGAAGACCAAAAGAUCAUCAGAAUAUUUCUGCUUCUAAUGAAAAAUUACAUUUUUUUUCUGGAGUAUGAGACAAGUGAGACAAGUGCAUAAGACAAUGCAGAACACCUUUUUUUUUUUUUUUUUUUUUUUUUUCCUGAAAGAGCCUGGCAUUUCUGUGCAUGUGUGCAGUAAUAUUAUUUUUAAUGGAAUCAUAGAGAACAGAGACGGAAUAUUGGUGCAUUGAAAAGAAUAGUUUCAGUCUCCUCAGGUUUAUCUUUUAGAAAAGUAGAAACUUGAAAAAAACAUAAAAAUCAUAAAAUAAAACUUCUCAUUUAUGGCAACAUUUUGCCAUUAAAAUAGCUGGAUUGCAGUGGUUUGACAUCUCUAAUGGCUCAUGACCAUGUCGAGUGGAAUACAACCAUGCAGAUCCAGUAUAUCAUACCAUCCAAGAAGAAAAGUAUAUCAUACUAUAUAUGAAGAUAAUACCUAUUUGACUGAAAUUUUGGUGAGGGCGUCUGGGUUCCAACAAUGGAGAACUAGAUUGACUAUGAGUUUAAACUUGCCCAAGUAUAAUUUUAAAGCAUAGUGAUUCACAGCUGGUGCCAAAACAUAGUUCUAUACAAUAUGUCUACUUGUAGAUAAAAUCAACUCUUUCUUUGGCCUGUUUAACCACUGUGAGGAAUAGAUGCAUACUUAUACACCAAUUAGCUCAUGUGGGAGAUAUAUGGGAAACAUUAGCAAAAGCUCUUUCUAGAUGUCAAACCCUGAAUUAGAUUGCUUAGAAAAAAAUAUGGCAUUUCAAUCACUCUUGGAGAUUUUUUCAAAAAACAUUAUCUAGAAUUAAAGUGAUUCCCUGACAGAUAUUCAUCUAAGCAGUACUGAAUGCCAUUCAAAUGCAUCCUCUCUUAUUUAGAGCAGGUAUGUUGUUAAGGAAGCUAUUCCUUAGUACUCCUUAGUGGUAAACUGUGAGCAUUUGGCUGAAAGUCAGUGACUAUGAGCAUGACAAAUUCCCAAGAUUCAGAUUUAUGAACAGUCCCCCCUUCCUUUUUCUACAGGAAAAUAUUAUAUUUGCCUAUAUCAUAUGUCAGAUAUAACAUACGUCAGAGUGACUGAUGUGAAGAUGAUUAAGUCCCAAUACCAUACUAAAAUGAUGAAACUGGUACACAUAACAGAUUCAUACCCCUUGGCUGCAUUGUUGGUCAAGUAGUAGCAGAAUAUUUCCAUUUGAGGUAGCAAGAUAAGUGACUGAGAACCUGAGUUAAGCCAGCAAAAGAGGAUUGUGUUAUAAUAUAUUAAAAAGUACCUAAAUUCUUUAAACCAGCAUAGUUGAAUCUUCUAUUAACCUGACUUCUAGGGUGUGCCAUUUUUUUUCUAUUGAUAGAAUAAUUUCAAAAUCAUGUUAGAACACAUAUCUAAUACAAGGACCUUCAGUUCCUUUGCUCGUUUUUUCUUACAUACAGGGUCCCACAUUGUUACAGGUGUAUACAAUUCUGGAAAGAUAUCAGCAGUUCCAAACAUUUCUAACUAGAGUAUUAGUGAAAUCAGGAGAAUAAAUCUACACAUAAGCACCCCAUGCUUCAACUUCUACUCAAAGUUUUGGGAGGAUUUUUUGGUUUUGUUUGGUUUGGCUGGGAUGGCGGGUUUUUUUGUUUGUUUGUUUGUUUGUUUGUUUGUUUGUUUUUAUUAAUGAUAUGACAAUGAUGAGAUUUUUUGUUGCUGAAACAACUUUGGGUGCACUGUAAACCAAUCAUAUCUUUUUAUACAAAUAGAAACUGGAACAUUUAUCAAAUGUUUAUGUUUUCCAUACUAAAGCCUCAAGUAGGUACUGAAUAUACUUAUAUUGGUUGAUAUGUAUCGAAAUAUUUUUAAAUGAUCUAAUAUAUUAUUUAAUAUUCUAUUAAUAUGUAUCACAUAAUAAUAUUAAUUCCUGUGAAGAUACCAUAUUUUUAUGACUGUUUGUCCUAAAUAUGGCUUUGAGAAAAAAUAGAUUUGUCUAAAAUGGAGUUAAAAAUAUUUGCUAGACUCUCCUUUCAGAGAUCUUACAGAAAAAAUACAGCUUUUGAGCUUACUGUUGGUCUUGGACUUCCUGACUACUUUCCUGGAUGUUUGUUAAAAAAAUGAAAUCUCUCAUGUCACUCUUAAAAUGGUGUAAUUUUAAUUUUAAAUUCAUACAGAUAUUAAAACAAAGGACUGCCAGUAGAUAUAUAAAAAUAAAACAUAAUACAUAGGUAAUUCUACAUUGUUUUCAUACAUUUCAUGAAGUUACAAUCCUACCAGUUUUGCCAUUAAUGUCACAUAUUUUUUGUGGUACAUUUGGUCACAAAAUUCAGACCAGAAGAACGUGGGCUGCCUCUUCUUCUGCUAUUAUAGAAAACGUAUUCUUAAAUUAAGAAAAUAAAUACAUUCAAUUAAAACAAUGUUUUCAAGAUAUCAAUGUUUUCAAAAUAAAAUCUACUUUAUGUAACCCAAAGAUGUAUUAUAAUGUAGCCCUUUUCAUGUGCUUUUAUGUCUUAGUGAUAAGAAAAUAAAAAAACCCCUUCUUUCCAUAUGUUAUCUAUAGAAUCUUCAGAUAAUAUUUACCAUAAAAGGACUUUCUUUUAAGAGGACAUAAUCAGAAAGACUGUGUGCCAUUGGUGAAGUGUAUUUAACCCCAUAAAAACUGGUAUAAAGAGAGAGACAACAGUACAGGAAUGAUAUAGGAGCUGCUACAGUCCAGCUUUGAACAUUUUUAAGCCCUAAAGCAGUAGUAUCAUACACUUGGAGGGAAAACUUAAUUUCUGCAGAUUGCUUUGAUUUGAUUAUUUCCACUAGUACAUUUAAUGUGUAGAAAAAUCCCAAUUUCAAAGGGAAAAGAGAAAAUUGGUUGAAACGGAAAUCCCUUUGCUUUCAAAUACAAAUAUACUAUCUUUUGUCAAAACGUUUCUGCAGUGUUGAACCUUUUUUAUUAUAUAUGGAUGUAUAGAGAACAGGGCAUUUGAUAGGAGGAAAAGUGAAUUUUUCAGGAACAGUCAU